rnacentral:rRNA from 1 species
CAAUAGCGUAUAUUAAAGUUGUUGCAGUUAAAAAGCUCGUAGUUGGAUUUGUGGCUGUCUCGAGCGGCACGGCACCUAGUGCCGGUGCUUGCUUGCGUCGCCAUCCUUGGGUGGAACCUGUGUGGCAUUAGGUUGUCGUGCAGGGGAUGCCCAUCGUUUACUGUGAAAAAAUUAGAGUGUUCAAAGCAGGCUUAUGCCGUUGAAUAUGUUAGCAUGGAAUAAUAAGAUAGGACCUUGGUACUAUUUUGUUGGUUUGCGCACCAAGGUAAUGAUUAAAAGGGACAGUUGUGGGUAUUCGUAUUCCAUUGUCAGAGGUGAAAUUCUUGGAUUUUUGGAAGACGAACUACUGCGAAAGCAUUUACCAAGGAUGUUUUCACUAA